rnacentral:snRNA from 1 species
AGAUAUGGUGGCAAUGUAGCUGAGACAUUGUAAUUCCAUUGAUACCAGGGUUGAUUUGGUUGAUGUGGCUGGUUAGAUGCAUGUCCCCUCCCUCCCUCACUAUUCCGUGUGUGUUCCUCUCAAAGCCGCAUGUUUGAUGGAAGAAGACAACCAUCCCACAUAGGAGUGUACUGAUCUUCAGUCAACUGUGUACGAUAGCUAUGCUCCACUACAAAGCCUCCAAAGAAACUCAAAGUCCAUUUGUUUUUCUAAUUAUUUUCUCUAGCAAAAUCUCUUUAUUACAUCUUCUAUUGUCUGCUUAUUUACAUACAUA